UACGUAGGUGACCAGCGUUGUCCGGAUUUACUGGGCGUAAAGAGCGCGCAGGCGGUCGUUCAAGUCGAGUGUGAAAGCCCCCGGCUCAACUGGGGAGGGUCAUUCGAUACUGCCGUGCUUUGAGGACUGGAGAGGAGACUGGAAUUUACGGUGUAGCGGUGAAAUGCGUAGAUAUCGUAAGGAAGACCAGUGGCGAAGGCGGGUCUCGUGGACAGUUCCUUGACGCUGAGGCACGAAGGCCAGGGGGAGCAAAACGGGG
rnacentral:rRNA from 1 species